GCCUCUGUAGCUUAGCAGGUAGAGCGUGCGGCUGUUAACCGCAAGGUCGGCAGUUCGAGUCUGCCCAGAGGCG
rnacentral:tRNA from 1 species